rnacentral:rRNA from 1 species
UACGGGGGGGGCAAGCGUUAAUCGGAAUUACUGGGCGUAAAGCGUGCGCAGGCGGUGAUGCAAGACAGAUGUGAAAUCCCCGGGCUUAACCUGGGAACUGCAUUUGUGACUGCAUUGCUGGAGUGCGGCAGAGGGGGAUGGAAUUCCGCGUGUAGCAGUGAAAUGCGUAGAUAUGCGGAGGAACACCGAUGGCGAAGGCAAUCCCCUGGGCCUGCACUGACGCUCAUGCACGAAAGCGUGGGGAGCAAACAGG